AAGGCCAGGAGGUAAUAAAGGGCAUGAUAAAAGGGAGAUACAUUUACCAUGCUCUCUCGCUCUUCCACCUCCAUCUACAGACACCACCACCAAGCUUCUGAAGUGCUGAUCAAAGAGGAGAAUCUAGCUGAAGGGCAACCAGCCAGCCUGUGGUGAGAAGCAUCUAAGUUUGUAAGGGCCCUGAAAGAGUUAAGAUCAGGUUAGAAUGUGUUUUGCUUUUCUUUCAUUGACCAAAUCUGACUUCUUGUGCUUUGACUUAUAAUCACUUAAAACCUAUCUUCUGUAGUUAAUACAUUUGUU